AGCGAACGCUGGCGGCAGGCCUAACACAUGCAAGUCGAACGGAUCCUUCGGGAUUAGUGGCGGACGGGUGAGUAACACGUGGGAACGUGCCCUUUGGUUCGGAACAACUCAGGGAAACUUGAGCUAAUACCGGAUGUGCCCUUCGGGGGAAAGACUUAUCGCCAUUGGAGCGGCCCGCGUCUGAUUAGCUAGUUGGUGAGGUAACGGCCCACCAAGGCGACGAUCAGUAGCUGGUCUGAGAGGAUGAUCAGCCACACUGGGACUGAGACACGGCCCAGACUCCUACGGGAGGCAGCAGUGGGGAAUCUUGCGCAAUGGGCGAAAGCCUGACGCAGCCAUGCCGCGUGAAUGAUGAAGGUCUUAGGAUUGUAAAAUUCUUUCAGCGGGGACGAUAAUGACGGUACCCGCAGAAGAAGCUCCGGCUAACUUCGUG
rnacentral:rRNA from 1 species